AAGCAGUAUAUUACAUUUAAGAACAUAUGUAUUCUGUACAAUAAUUUAGUGUAUAAUAUAUAUCAGAUUAUACAAUAAUCCAAUUAAAUAAUCAUAUAUACUGCAUGUAUGUUUGUAUCAAUAUUUGACAUAGAUGCUGCAGUUAUUAAAGAAAAGGUGAAAUCAGCCCCUGUAAAGAAAGGUAAAAAUGUUUUCAAAUCUGUGGUUAAUAUGUAAUUUGAUAGUGCUUGAUAGAGGCUGAAAGUCACUAUUUUACUGAGAAGCUGAAUUUAGCAGUGAGAAGACCAAACCAGCUCUUGCAAAAAAAUAAUGAAAUGGCCCAAUUCUUUAGAUUCAUUUUGUGUCUUCUCCAAUGAUUGUUUUAGAAGCUGAAAUUCACAAAGAAAACGCCAAAGCAGCUUCAUCAAAGAAAGGUAUGGAUAACUUUUUUCUUUAGACUUGAAACAAAAAACGCUAGUCUUACUCUAAAUAGAUGUCUGCCACAGAGUGUGCUUCAUUUCUCUCUCAACCAAAUACUCAGUAUGGGUUUGAAUCAAUUGCAGUUUGAACCUUUGCUGUAUAUGUUAUCAUUCUUGUUUGAUUAGAGUCCAAGGAAACUAAGGAACAAGCCAAACCAGAGCCUUCAAAAGAAGGUACAGAUAGGAUGUUUUUUUCUGGCUUCAAAAUGUAUAAUGGCGCAAUUCUUGAGAUUCAUGUUGUGUCUUGUCCAAUGAUUGUUUUAGACAGUGAAGUUCCCAAAGAACAAACCAUAGCAGCUACAUCAAAGAAAGAUGCUGAAGCAAAAGAAAAGGCCAAAUUAGCUCCAGAAAAGAAAGAUGCUGCAGUUAUUAAAGAAAAGAUCAAAUCAGCUCCUGCAAAGAAAGAUGCUGAUGUUGUUAAAGAAAAGACGAGACCAGUUCCUGCAAAGAAAGUGAAAACUGUAAAAGACAAGACAAAACCAGCACUGGCUAAGAAAGAGGCUGAAGUUGGCAAAGAAAAGUCCAAACCAACACCUGCAAAGAAAGAACUUGUUGCACCACUGGGGAAAGCACGACCAAAAAUUGGAAUCAAAGAAUCUGAAGUCAUUCGCAGAAAUCACAGUCACAUAAAUUCUUCUCUUACAAAGGAGAGAGUUAAAGUUGUACUUGUAAAGAAAGAACCUGCUCUGAAAGAGAAGGCCAUGCCAGCCCCUGCAAAGAAAGAACGUGAGGCUCCCAACCAGAAGGACAAACCAGUAUCUCAAAAGAAAGGUACUGAUUCAAUUCAAGAACCUGAGGGUGUGAAAGAGAUGGACAAACCAGACCCUCUUAAGAAAGAGCCUGAUGCGCCAAAGGAGAAUGCCAGACCUGUGAAAAAAGGUAGGUAA
rnacentral:lncRNA from 1 species